rnacentral:rRNA from 1 species
CUUGACAACUAUAAGAGGUCCAGCCUGCCCAGUGACUCUGUUCAACGGCCGCGGUAUCCUAACCGUGCGAAGGUAGCGUAAUCACUUGUUCUUUAAAUAAGGACUAGUAUGAAAGGCACCACGAGGGUUGCACUGUCUCCUUUCUCUAAUCAGUGAAACUAAUCUUCCCGUGAAGAAGCGGGAAUGAAAAUAUAAGACGAGAAGACCCUAUGGAGCUUUAAACUAAACAAUAAUAGCCAACCCACUUACACAACUCCAGAUGAAUACUUUACCCUGGCUUAAUAAUUUUUAGUUUUUGGUUGGGGUGACCACGGAGAAAAAAGAAACCUCCGCAAUGAAAGACUCUCCUUCUUAAUUUUAGGACUACUUUCCUAAACAUCAAUAAAUUGACAUAUAUUGACCCAACAACGUUGAUCAAUGAAC